GAUGAACGCUGGCGGCGUGCUUGACACAUGCAAGUCGAACGGAAAGGCUCCUGCUUGCAGGGGUACUCGAGUGGCGAACGGGUGAGUAACACGUGGGUGAUCUGCCCUGCACUUCGGGAUAAGCCUGGGAAACUGGGUCUAAUACCGGAUAGGACGAUGGUCUGGAUGCCAUUGUGGAAAGUUUUUUCGGUGUGGGAUGAGCUCGCGGCCUAUCAGCUUGUUGGUGGGGUAAUGGCCUACCAAGGCGUCGACGGGUAGCCGGCCUGAGAGGGUGUACGGCCACAUUGGGACUGAGAUACGGCCCAGACUCCUACGGGAGGCAGCAGUGGGGAAUAUUGCACAAUGGGCGCAAGCCUGAUGCAGCGACGCCGCGUGGGGGAUGACGGCCUUCGGGUUGUAAACUCCUUUCGCUAGGGACGAAGCGCAAGUGACGGUACCUGGAGAAGAAGCACCGGCUAACUACGUG
rnacentral:rRNA from 1 species